ensembl:lncRNA TTTY7B testis expressed transcript, Y-linked 7B
GAGCAGUGUCCUCACGCAUUGGACUGGCCUCCAAUGGGUGUAGUUACAGGGCCCCAACCACCUUUCACCAGAUUGUAUACUCACCUGUAUCUGACCUUAUUGCUACUCACACUCUAGGUCCCAGGAUAAAAUCCCAACAUGAUGGAGGAGUGCCCCCUCAUUAUGUGAAGCACCUGCUGGGCUUGGAACCAAAUUCAGUGAUGAAAUCCCAAGAUGAUGGAGGAGUGAACCCUGACGACAGGAAGUACCUGCUCACCUAUGAACAAAAUUUGAGGAAUAUGGAUGUAUCCUGUGGAUCCCUCAGAGAAGACAGGCAAGAGUCCACCACCAAGGCACCUCUAUGGAGGUCUCCUUCUUGGCCACGCAGCCAGGACUGAUCUCUAUGUAAUGGUGACAUUCAUUGUGAUGCUAGCCAGAGCUCAUAGUCAGGCCUGGUGCCCUGAGGCGUGCAUGUGCAUUUGAGGGCAUGCUUGCUGGCCUGGCUUUCACAGAUGUUAGCCUGUGGAAGCAGAAGAAAAUGGUACACAUAGAGCUGGCUCGGUAUCCAGAAAUAGGCUGCCUGCAAUAAUGCACUGCGGGACCCUACAAUGCUCGAAGUUAGGGCGACUUCAAGCCGUCUCCCUGGUCAGCUCCUGCAGGAGUAGGAGGCAUUCAGAGACUGAGGUGGUCGCUGAAAUCUGUUCUUCUGAUUCCCUUUUGGAAAGAGGCUGUGUGCAAGAAUCCAGUCCCAUGGGGAUUGGAAUGUAGUCUGGAUCGUGGGACUAUCCUGUGGAUCCCACAGAGAAGAGAGAGGACAGUCCACCACUGAUGCACCUCCACAGAGGUCUCCUUCUCCGCCAAACCUCACGGAAUUGUGACAUUCAUGGCGAAUGUGCGGGACCCCAUCCAUCCCUCACCAGCUUGUAUCCUCAGCUUUAUCUGAAGUUAAAAGUAUCUUUCCCAUAAUGAAAUCCAAAGAUGAUGGAAGAGUGCCCCCUCACGGUGUGGAGGUCCUGCUUGGCUAGCAACUGAAUAUGAAGUAAAUUCAAGGGACCCUGUGGACCGGACUGCUAGUGUUUCUAAAUGGGGUGUACACUGGACAAUAAAACACUGAAAGAUUUCUGUUCCUGAA